AGGGAUAUAGCUCAGUGGUAGAGUGCAUGCUUAGCAUGCACAAAGUCCUAGGUUCAAUCCCCAGUACCUCCA
rnacentral:tRNA from 1 species